rnacentral:rRNA from 1 species
UACGGAGGAUCCGAGCGUUAUCCGGAUUUAUUGGGUUUAAAGGGAGCGUAGGCGGGUUGUUAAGUCAGUUGUGAAAGUUUGCGGCUCAACCGUAAAAUUGCAGUUGAUACUGGCAUCCUUGAGUACAGUAGAGGUAGGCGGAAUUCGUGGUGUAGCGGUGAAAUGCUUAGAUAUCACGAAGAACUCCGAUUGCGAAGGCAGCCUGCUGGACUGUAACUGACGCUGAUGCUCGAAAGUGUGGGUGAUCAAACAAGG